rnacentral:rRNA from 1 species
UGGGGAAUAUUGCACAAUGGGCGCAAGCCUGAUGCAGCCAUGCCGCGUGUAUGAAGAAGGCCUUCGGGUUGUAAAGUACUUUCAGCGGGGAGGAAGGUGUCGAGGCUAAUAACCUCAGCAAUUGACGUUACCCGCAGAAGAAGCACCGGCUAACUCCGUGCCAGCAGCCGCGGUAAUACGGAGGGUGCAAGCGUUAAUCGGAAUUACUGGGCGUAAAGCGCACGCAGGCGGUCUGUCAAGUCGGAUGUGAAAUCCCCGGGCUCAACCUGGGAACUGCAUUCGAAACUGGCAGGCUAGAGUCUUGUAGAGGGGGGUAGAAUUCCAGGUGUAGCGGUGAAAUGCGUAGAGAUCUGGAGGAAUACCGGUGGCGAAGGCGGCCCCCUGGACAAAGACUGACGCUCAGGUGCGAAAGCGCGGGGAGCAAACA